UAUAGAUACAAACACACAACACAAGAAACAAAACAUUAACUUUCUAAGCUAUGAAGAACCAACGCAGCUUCUCCAUUGCUGCUCUUCUUCUCAUUAUCCUUUCUUCAUCUGUCUCUCUGCUCAGCUUCAGACAAACUUUUAGUGGAACUCAUGUCCUAACGUCGAAACUAUUGUCCGCAACGCCGUCCGCCAAAAGUUCCAACAGACGUUUGUAACAGCUCCAGCCACUCUCCGCCUUUUCUUUCAUGAUUGCUUCGUCCGUGGAUUCGACACGGUGGUGAAGGCGAAGCAGGCCGUUGAUAGGGAUCCUAACUGCCGUAACAAAGUAUCAUGUGCUGACAUUUUGGCUCUCGCCACUCCUGACGUCGUCGUUCUGGUAUAAAUAUAUUUAAACUCUUAUUGAUCUUUUUCCUUUUUGACAUCUUAUUCAAAAUUCUAGUAAAAGGAAAUGUCACACGGAAAAAAAAGAAAAGAUGUAGGCUAAUUCUAGUAUGCCUUUUUUUGUGACACAAAGUAACAAUAUUACUGUUUCGUUUACUUUGAUUUUUUUUUUUUAUGUAACAAUCUAUCGUGAUCAUAAAGAUCAGAAAUGUAUAUUACCUAACUUAGUGAAAAUUAUAGGAUUACUUCUUUUGUAAUUUAUCCUAAACUAUAAACAGUACGUACUGUUCAUUAGGUGUAUACACCAUCGAUUAGGUUAUUAUUAUGUUUUUUUUUUUUUGACAAUGGUUAUUAUUAUGUUCUUGUGUGAUUUUAUUAUAUAAUUGGGGUGUCAUAGUUAUUAAAAGAUGGUGAGAUUAAGAAUAAUACUACUGUAUGUUGGCCAAACUAUCCGGUGGAGCUAGGAAGGAGAGACGGAAGACUAUCGACAGUGGGUAGCGUUCAACACAGUCUGCCUCAACCUGGUUUCAAUUUAAACCAGCUUAACACUAGCUAUGUUCGCUCGUCACGGUCUAUCCCAAACUGAUAUGAUCGCACUCUCAGGUAUUUAAACCAAAGCAACCCAUAUUAUACCGACUUUAGUUCAUAUAUUGGAUCCGACUUCUCCAAAUACCUUUGACAAUGCUUACUUCAAAAACCUCCAAAAAGGGAUGGGUUUGUUCACGUCCGAUCAAGUUUUGUUCUCUGAUCAACGGUCUAGAUCAACUGUCAAUUCAUUUGCUUCUAGUGAAGUAGCUUUUAGACAGGCUUGUGUUUCUGCUAUAACGAAGUUGGGUCGGGUUGGAGUUAAAUCCGGUAACGCUGGUGAGAUAAGACAUGAUUGCUCACGUGUCAACUAGUGAUUUGUUGUUUUUUAUAUUUUUCCGUUAAGAAUUUUGCUUUUUUUUUUAUUUAAAAUAUAUGUAUUCCGGUGGUUCAUUGACGGAAAAAAAAAAGCUCGACCACCUUAUUUAGAUGUUGGAACCCCAUUUCUUAA